rnacentral:rRNA from 1 species
AGUCGAGCGGAUGAGAAGAGCUUGCUCUUCGAUUCAGCGGCGGACGGGUGAGUAAUGCCUAGGAAUCUGCCUGGUAGUGGGGGACAACGUUUCGAAAGGAACGCUAAUACCGCAUACGUCCUACGGGAGAAAGCAGGGGACCUUCGGGCCUUGCGCUAUCAGAUGAGCCUAGGUCGGAUUAGCUAGUUGGUGAGGUAAUGGCUCACCAAGGCGACGAUCCGUAACUGGUCUGAGAGGAUGAUCAGUCACACUGGAACUGAGACACGGUCCAGACUCCUACGGGAGGCAGCAGUGGGGAAUAUUGGACAAUGGGCGAAAGCCUGAUCCAGCCAUGCCGCGUGUGUGAAGAAGGUCUUCGGAUUGUAAAGCACUUUAAGUUGGGAGGAAGGGCAUUAACCUAAUACGUUAGUGUUUUGACGUUACCGACAGAAUAAGCACCGGCUAACUCUGUGCCAGCAGCCGCGGUAAUACAGAGGGUGCAAGCGUUAAUCGGAAUUACUGGGCGUAAAGCGCGCGUAGGUGGUUUGUUAAGUUGGAUGUGAAAGCCCCGGGCUCAACCUGGGAACUGCAUCCAAAACUGGCAAGCUAGAGUACGGUAGAGGGUGGUGGAAUUUCCUGUGUAGCGGUGAAAUGCGUAGAUAUAGGAAGGAACACCAGUGGCGAAGGCGACCACCUGGACUGAUACUGACACUGAGGUGCGAAAGCGUGGGGAGCAAACAGGAUUAGAUACCCUGGUAGUCCAUGCCGUAAACGAUGUCAACUAGCCGUUGGAAUCCUUGAGAUUUUAGUGGCGCAGCUNACGCAUUAAGUUGACCGCCUGGGGGAGUACGGNCGCAAGGUUAAAACUCNAAUGAAUUGACGGGGCCCGCACAAGC